rnacentral:tRNA from 1 species
UCCUUCAUAGCUCAGUUGGUAAAGAGUCUGCCUGCAAUGCAGGAGACCCUGGUUCGAUUCCUGGGUCGGGAA